rnacentral:rRNA from 2 species
GCUUUCAAAGAGUCAGGUUGUUUGGGAAUGCAGCCUAAAUUGGGUGGUAAAUCUCACCUAAAGCUAAAUAUUGGCGAGAAACCGAUAGCGAACAAGUACCGUGAGGGAAAGAUGAAAAGAACUUUGAAAAGAGAGUUAAACAGUAUGUGAAAUUGUUAAAAGGGAACCGUUUGGAGCCAGACUGGCUUGUCUGUAAUCAAUCUAGGCUUCGGCCUGGAUGCACUUGCAGGCUAUGCCUGCCAACGACAAUUUGACUUGAGGGAAAAAACUAGGGGAAAUGUGGCCCACUUGUGGGUGUUAUAGUCCCUUAGAAAAUACCUUGGGUUGGAUUGAGGAACGCAGCGAAUGCUUAUUGGCGAGUUUUCCAGGAAGGUUUUCUGAGGUACUACGGUAUCAAGGUUGAUCUUUUUGGUUAUACUUCUAUUCGCU